GCAGUCACUCCUGUGUCCAGGUCUUUCUGGAUCAUCUUGUGGAGGGAGUCGUGCACCUAAAAGCUAUAUUAUACAGCAUGACUCCUUGAUGGAAAAGACUGCCCGAAAGGUGUUUCUAGACCUAGCUGUAGACGGUACAAUCUUCGGACGGGUAAUAAUUAGGUUAAUGGACAAGGGCAAUCUCGCCCUUAAUUUCCUCCACAUGUGCGCCGGAGAUCUGGGCCCCUCCUACGCCAACACACGGGUCAUGGGAGUGGAUAACAAGGGUGAGGAAUGUGAAUGUAUUCAAAUGGGUGAGUAUGUGAUGGGUAGAGGUACUUCGUGUAGGGCGGUGUUGUCGGAUGUGAACUGGAACAGGGAGAAGAAAAGGAAGAUCUACAAAACGACGCCAUACAAGGUGGGGCAAGUAAGAGGCUUUCUCUCAUAUCAUAAUGUUUCACGUUUUGAUAUCAUCACUAGAGAUGAUCCCUUUCAAACAGAUAAAGAUUGCUUUGGGAUGGUAGAGGAAGGACUUGGGCUGUUGAAAGAUGCCAUCUGGCGGUAUCCAGACAUCAGCCAGGUAACAAUUGCCAACUGUGGCCUUAUGUUCUGCCUUUAACUUCUCCUUAGACGUUAGGGAUCUUUCCUAGAUAGCAACCCCCAUGGCUUUCAACCCAGUAUGUAUCCCUCUGCAGCGUGUUUAGUACAAGCCAGUUGGGAUUACCAUAAAAGCAAACAAAAGUCUAUAAAUAUCAGGAAGACAAUGACCCCAAAGGAAUAUUAUUCCUAGAUUACGACCUCAGAAAACUUUUGGUGGUCACUAUCUAGUAAGCAUCCGACAUCGGUAGUCCUAUAAUCGAGAUAAUAGUGUGACCAAUAUGAGAUUCACUUAUCCUUUUGAUUUAUUUUUUAUACUGGCUAUGAUGAUACUUUGCUUAGGGCAAGUUAUCCCUGAUUGAAGCGGUCCUGAUGUCCUUAUCAGGAACAUGAUAAUAUAAAUUGUAUUGACACUGUUCUGAGAACAUAAUGUGACUGAUUUCUAUUGCACAAUAAAGAGAUGUAACAGA